GCAAAAAGUACUUCUAUUCUGUUACAAAAUACUCAGUAGGGACAAUAAAUUUCAACUCCAGUGUUUAUGGUGUGGUAGAAACAUGAUUCUUAUUUUUAAUCUCAGAUAGGUUCUGAAUAUUCAGGAUACAAUUAUGAUAUAUAUAUAUAUAUGUAUAUAUAUUUAUAUAAAUAGAAGACAAAGAAGGAGACUGUUCCUUCUCCUGACUUACUUACACUUUUCUCCUCUUCAUUUGAAUCCUCAAACUGUUUUUUGAUUCUGCAACAAUGUUCAGUUAGCCACCAGUUUCUUCUCAUUCUCUUAUAACCACUGACAUACAAUUAUCUACUUCUUACAUCUUCUAAUAUAACCUUUCUCUAUCAAAUAACUAUGCUUGCUUAUCCAUUUUAGAUCUUUUGUUUCUAAAAUUUCAGGUUUUCUGUUCUGUUCCAAGGGCCCAGCUUAGCUUUUCAUGAAUUUCCUCUUUUCCAGGUUUAUCUCAUUCUCUCUUCCCCAAGACAGCUCUGCCAUCAGCCUCAGUGCUUCCCAGAUCCUUCGAACUUUCGUCCAAGAGACAGAACCGAUGGAUCUCAUUCUGAUGAUUACCACAAUGAUGUAUGCAUGCACUAGAGGGAUACAGUCUAAAAUGAGCCAAUGCUGACAUUCAGGUUGACUUCAGCGGGUUGGGAGUGACCUAAUCUGUGAGACAUCCAUCACAGCAUGUAAGCAUGUAAGUGCAAUACAAACCUCCAUUUCUCUUUAAACAUUCUUUGCAUGCUUCUUUGUUUUUGUGUUUGAACUAAAAUGGAAAAUAUAUAAAAAGCCUCAAUAGACCCAGAAGACGGAGAACAAUUACUGCAUUAAAGAAAACUCUCAGCAGACAGUUUACCUCUAAAUCUUUUUUUUUCCUUUUUUUUUUCUUUUUUUUUUCCCCUAUAAGUGGAGGAAUAUUAUCAUUAGGAAGUGUUACUAAUUGACAUUCAACUAUGUUCCAGUGUUUUUAUUCAAAGUACAUAGUUUAUAUCCUUAAUAUUCAUUGACUGACAGGAUUUGCGGUUGGACUUGAUGAUCUUGAAGGUCCUUUCCAACGUGAGCAAAUUCUAUGACUCUAUGAUUCUAAAUAGGUUAAACAUUUUGCACUUUUCAAAAAACACCUAUGAGUGUUUUAAUAACAAUUGAGAGCAUGUUGGUUUACAGUGGAGACUACAGGAUAGUAUUUAGGGAGAUACACAACAGACAACUUCAUACAUGCUACCUCGGGUUAUAGGAACAACUUUGCCAUGAAAGAAAAGUUACAUCUAGAACAGAGAACAUUUUCAGGUAAGAGAAUGCCAUAUUAAAUUGUAGGAAAUAGAGUAGGUAAAUGCAGUGUAACUAAUUUGGGACAUAGAAUUCCAGCCAGAACAGAAUUCAGAAGCGUACCCAAACAGCUGUGUGAGAAGGUGGCAUACCAGAGAUAAGCUAGAUGAUGUUGUAUGCACUCUUCACAGAAAUCAAAAUACUUGAAACAAGGUCAGAUGUCUUUCAAAAUCUUAAAUAUGGCAAUGACUGUAUCAUAUAUAUAUAUAUAUAUAUAUAUUGUCUUCUACAAUGCACAUGUUUUGAAAAUAUCUUUGUUGCCUUAACCAGCAACAUCAGCUAAGACACUGUAAAUCGGGGUUGCUCUGGAAAUGAAAAAAGGGUCUUUCUGAAGACAGAUACAUUAAAUACUUGCUUAAAUCUUAAAUGAUGCAAAAUAUUUAGUCUUACUGUUAUAUUAGUGUUGUUUCUUUUUUUUUUUUUUUUGCCUUACUCUUUGCAAGGCAAAAUUCAUAACACAUUUCUCAUCUGUAAAGGCUUCUAGGUGAAACUUUAAUUCAGUAAAGAUCUAAUUGCAUAUUUAGACUCCUUUCUGUUUAAGGAAAAACUUAAGCCUCACUACACGUGAGGCUGAGGGCAUAGCUGAUUUCUGAACGGUUUACUAAAAUUCUAAAUAAUUACCCCGGAGUACUUAAAUAUGUCUGACAAUAACUUGUAGAGUUAUGGUUAGUUGAAAAAUAACAGAAGACAUUGUCAAGAUGAACUACAUUUACUUCAGAACAAAAUUAAACUUAUCUCUUUUAGAAGUUAAAGAAAUUCUGUUUUAAAAGUUACUGCAAAAAUAAAAUCAAAGUAAAACACCA
rnacentral:lncRNA from 1 species